rnacentral:lncRNA from 1 species
CUUGAGUCGUGGAACGUGAUGAAAUUACUUUAGCAACUGCCUCAAUAACUGCAUCAUAAUGCGUUAUGUUUGUUGAUACCUUGGGCGACUUGAAGAUUUGGGCGAGACUUUGGACGACCGUAUGCCACUCUAUUCGUUCAGACUCUGAGCGACUUGCAAACUUGGGCGAUGGCGUUACCGCACUAUUGGGCCCCUUAUUUGGGCAUUCACCUUGAUUCGUUCAAUUGGAUUUCGUUCUUUGGGCUAUCUGAUUUGGGGACCCUCCAAUUGGACUUUAUUCUCUGGGCUGUUCGAUUUGGGCUGAAUUUUUAUGUGUCAACAAUUACCCCCCAAUAUGGCAGAAUUAAUAAUAACUAUUGAAUUUUGCCAUAUUCACUUCACGUCUUCAGCAACGUUCACGAUCCCCAAAGAAUUUUAAUCAUUGUCUCCUUCUAUAACUUGAAAAGGUGCGUCGCUUUGCAAACCCUUAUAAACUCCGAACACGCCAUUUUACUGCUACGAAAUCACGUUUCAUAUUUCUUACGCAUCCUUCGCGAUUCACUGUUCAUAUUUUGCUUCCUUGUUACGUAACUCUGAAAAGCUUCGUUCCUUCUUCAAUGGCUGCUUUACAAUCCCAAGCUAGCGAUUCCUUUAGUUUUGACGACUUUCAGGAACUUCUGAGUCGUUCAUACGUAACCCCAAGUUUUCUUGCGCCCGCUGAUGUUGGACGUAAUGAGUUUUACUUGGGUCCUUUCUUCAACAAUGCGGAAGCAAUCGAUCAGGCGGCGGUGGGCCAGCUGUUUCCUUGCACCCAUGGCCCUCCUUUUCUGAAUUCUUUGCCGCUGGGGCCACUUCGUGAAAAAGGUAUUCGCACUUGGCCCAAAUCUGACGUAGCUUUUCGUAGGUGGCAUGCUCGUCUUGUGGGUCAUGGUCCUACUAAGGCACUUUUUGAUAGCGCUAGGAUUUCUGAUUUGUUGGAAGUCUCUAUUCGCCCCCCUACUUUUGAUUCAGCGCUCUUUCCGAUUGCUUUGAGCUUUUGGUCCUCUGAGUAUAACACCUUUAUUUUUC